GAUGAACGCUGGCGGCGUGCCUAAUACAUGCAAGUCGAGCGAACGGACGAGAAGCUUGCUUCUCUGAUGUUAGCGGCGGACGGGUGAGUAACACGUGGAUAACCUACCUAUAAGACUGGGAUAACUUCGGGAAACCGGAGCUAAUACCGGAUAAUAUUUUGAACCGCAUGGUUCAAAAGUGAAAGACGGUCUCGCUGUCACUUAUAGAUGGAUCCGCGCUGCAUUAGCUAGUUGGUAAGGUAACGGCUUACCAAGGCAACGAUGCAUAGCCGACCUGAGAGGGUGAUCGGCCACACUGGAACUGAGACACGGUCCAGACUCCUACGGGAGGCAGCAGUAGGGAAUCUUCCGCAAUGGGCGAAAGCCUGACGGAGCAACGCCGCGUGAGUGAUGAAGGUCUUCGGAUCGUAAAACUCUGUUAUUAGGGAAGAACAUAUGUGUAAGUAACUGUGCACAUCUUGACGGUACCUAAUCAGAAAGCCACGGCUAACUACGUGCCAGCAGCCGCGGUAAUACGUAGGUGGCAAGCGUUAUCCGGAAUUAUUGGGCGUAAAGCGCGCGUAGGCGGUUUUUUAAGUCUGAUGUGAAAGCCCACGGCUCAACCGUGGAGGGUCAUUGGAAACUGGAAAACUUGAGUGCAGAAGAGGAAAGUGGAAUUCCAUGUGUAGUGGUGAAAUGCGCAGAGAUAUGGAGGAACACCAGUGGCGAAGGCGACUUUCUGGUCUGUAACUGACGCUGAUGUGCGAAAGCGUGGGGAUCAAACAGG
rnacentral:rRNA from 1 species